rfam:Gossypium arboreum cultivar AKA8401 contig_80717_1, whole genome shotgun sequence.
AUUUCGUGAUGAGGGCACUUUCGUAAUAACUCUUUCAAUCUUUCCCAUGCCUCAUACAAGGACUCAUCAUCCACUUGUUGGAAAGCAAUAAUCUCAUUUCUCAGCUU